GACGAACGCUGGCGGCGUGCUUAACACAUGCAAGUCGAACGGAAAGGCCCUGCUUUUGUGGGGUGCUCGAGUGGCGAACGGGUGAGUAACACGUGAGUAACCUGUCCUUGACUUUGUGAUAACUCCAGGAAACUGGGGCUAAUAUCGGAUAGGAGCUCUUGCUGCAUGGUGGGGGUUGGAAAGUUUCGGCGGUUGGGGAUGGACUCGCGGCUUAUCCGCUUGUUGGUGGGGUAGUGGCUUACCAAGGCUUCGACGGGUAGCCGGCCUGAGAGGGUGACCGGCCACAAUGGGACUGAGGUACGGCCCAGACGCCUACGGGAGGCAGCAGUGGGGAAUAUUGCACAAUGGGCGGAAGCCUGAUGCAGCAACGCCGCGUGCGGGAUGACGGCCUUCGGGUUGUAAACCGCUUUCGCCGGUGACGAAGCGUGAGUGACGGUAAUGGGUAAAGAAGCAACGGCUAACUACGUG
rnacentral:rRNA from 1 species